UACGAAGGGGGCUAGCGUUGUUCGGAAUUACUGGGCGUAAAGCGCACGUAGGCGGAUAUUUAAGUCAGGGGUGAAAUCCCGGGGCUCAACCCCGGAACUGCCUUUGAUACUGGGUAUCUCGAGUCCGAGAGAGGUGAGUGGAAUUCCGAGUGUAGAGGUGAAAUUCGUAGAUAUUCGGAGGAACACCAGUGGCGAAGGCGGCUCACUGGCUCGGUACUGACGCUGAGGCGCGAAAGCGUGGGGAGCAAACAGG
rnacentral:rRNA from 1 species